rnacentral:tRNA from 1 species
GGAGUAAUACUCAAGAGGCUGAAGAGGCGCCCCUGCUAAGGGUGUAGGUCGGGGAAACCCGGCGCGAGGGUUCAAAUCCCUCUUACUCCGCCA